CUUAUUAGGAUGAUAUAUAAAAAUAUUUUAUUUUAUUUAUAAAUAUUUAAUAUUUAUAAUAAUAAUAAUAAUAAUAUAUAUAUAUAAAUUGAUUAAAAAUAAAAUCCAUAAAUAAUUAAAAUAAUGAUAUUAAUUACCAUAUAUAUUUUAUAUGGAUAUAUAUAUUAAUAAUAAUAUUAAUUUAUUAUUAUUAAUAAUAUAUUUUAAUAGUCCUGACUAAUAUUUGUGCCAGCAGUCGCGGUAACACAAAGAGGGCGAGCGUUAAUCAUAAUGGUUUAAAGGAUCCGUAGAAUGAAUUAUAUAUUAUAAUUUAGAGUUAAUAAAAUUAAUUAAAGAAUUAUAAUAGUAAAGAUGAAAUAAUAAUAAUAAUUAUAAGACUAAUAUAUGUGAAAAUAUUAAUUAAAUAUUAACUGACAUUGAGGGAUUAAAACUAGAGUAGCGAAACGGAUUCGAUACCCGUGUAGUUCUAGUAGUAAACUAUGAAUACAAUUAUUUAUAAUAUAUAUUAUAUAUAAAUAAUAAAUGAAAAUGAAAGUAUUCCACCUGAAGAGUACGUUAGCAAUAAUGAAACUCAAAACAAUAGACGGUUACAGACUUAAGCAGUGGAGCAU
rnacentral:rRNA from 1 species